rnacentral:RNase_P_RNA from 1 species
GAGAGUAGGCGCAGGUGGUUGCGGGUUUGCUUGCAAGAGUGAAUCUGAGGAAAGUCCGGACUCCCGAAAAACCAAACUUGCUGGAUAACGCCCAGUGCAGGUGACUGUGAGGAUAGUGCCACAGAAAGAUACCGCCAGUUUGUUAUUUGUUAUUGGUAAUUAGUUAUUUGCAAACAACAAAGGACUAGUGACUAAUGACAAAGGACAAAUUUGGUAAGGGUGCAAAGGUGUGGUAAGAGCGCACCAGCAGCAUCGAGAGGUGCUGGCUCGGUAAACCCCGGUUGGGUGCAAGGCCGAAGGGAGUACGGUUGGUUUUUUACCGCUCCCGCCAAUUAGAGCCGCUUGAGGUGUCUGGUAACAGGCAUCCCAGAUAGAUAACUACCCUUUAGGUUGGUAACAGCCUGGAGAACAGAAUCCGGCUUAUGUCCUACUCUCUCUU